rnacentral:lncRNA from 10 species
GCCGCUGUGGGAGCAGCAGUGGCGGCAGUGGGAGCCCUGUGCCACGCGUCCCCUGUGCGCCGUGUCCCCAAGGCAGCUGACUACACCUCCCCCACCCUCCUGCAGCAGGGUGGAUCCCACCUAGCGGGACUCCCCACCCACCCCUCCAGGCCUUCUCCACUCCGGACUCUGGCCACUUGCCACCGUUGUCGCCCGCCGCCGCUGCAGGGAGGGUGCACGGAGGGAGCAGACCGUCUCCGGAGCCCGCCGCCCUGGGGGCUGCAGUGAUGGGGCCGGGCUGAGGCACCUGCCGGCGGGGUAGCAGGGCAGUCGAGCACGGAGGGAGGGGCGGGCCUCCAGGGGACUUCAGCGGGAGCCGGGCCUGGGGCGGUGCCGCACUUGCACACGGAGUGUGGGGGGCCAGGCCUGGGACCAGGAGCUGGGGCCGGGCUUCGGCGCAGAGGCAGGAAGAGGAAGCGGCACCCGCUUCGGGGACCCAGCCGGCGGCCAGGCCACCGCGCCCACCCGGCCGAUGGCACCGUGUUCCUGCGCCUCGGGAGGGAGGAGGCUCUGCGCGGGACUGCAGGUUCUGCCCCGCAUCGGAGUGAUCGCUGAGCCUGACGCUCUCGAAGGCUGGGCCUGGGGCCCGCAAUCUACUCCGGAGGCUUUCCCACUGGGCAGGGUCGCUAGCAGGGUGAGAGAAAGCCCCGGGCCAUCCCCGAGUGCCGGGGCCACAGGAAGAAUUUGUGGCGACAUCAUCCCUUCCCCAGGUGCCACCCGGGUGCAGUGAGGACCUGGAGCCCCUGCCCCAGGCUGUGAGGAGACUUGACCAGAGCUGCCUGAAUGCUCCACGGAGCAGGAGGAAGCAUUCCCAUGUGAAAGAUGAGCUCCCUAUAAAAGCAACGCUCUUAUCAUCGAGAACAGAAAGUUGAAGCCAAGAGAGAGCUCCACAAGCUGACCUUGUUAAACUAACCCUUAUCUUCUUAGUCGCUUCUUUACCCAAUUAACUACCCUAGCCGAAGCCCCUUUGCCUUAUUACAUUUUGCAACAGUGUUCGUUGUCCAAUUCAGUAUACAAGUGAGUGACUCUGGAUGCUUUUUGGGGUCUUCGUUUCCUUAUGAGGGCUUCUGUGCCAUGUAAAACUUGUAUUAAAUAAAUUUGUAUGCUUUUCUCCUGUUAAUCUGUCUAUAUCGAUUGAACUUUAGGGUCCAGUCAGAACCCAAAGAGGAUGGAGGUGGAGUUUUGGCUCCUCUACAGCUAUCUGAAUAAUCAAAAUUCAAGAUAUUCCAUGUUCUUUCUGAGUUUCUUUGAAAUUAAAAAUGCAGACAACCACUCAACUAAUACGUCAGCGAGAUACGUUUUCUGUCCUUAUUGCCUUACUGAUGAAAUUGCCUUUAUUCAUAAAAAAUAAAUGUG